GGCCCCGUCGUCUAACGGUUAGGACGCAAGGUUUUCAACCUUGUAACGCGGGUUCGACUCCCGCCGGGGCUGCCA
rnacentral:tRNA from 1 species